GAUGAACGCUGGCGGCGUGCCUAAUACAUGCAAGUCGAGCGAACAGACGAGGAGCUUGCUCCUCUGACGUUAGCGGCGGACGGGUGAGUAACACGUGGAUAACCUACCUAUAAGACUGGGAUAACUUCGGGAAACCGGAGCUAAUACCGGAUAAUAUAUUGAACCGCAUGGUUCAAUAGUGAAAGACGGUUUUGCUGUCACUUAUAGAUGGAUCCGCGCCGCAUUAGCUAGUUGGUAAGGUAACGGCUUACCAAGGCAACGAUGCGUAGCCGACCUGAGAGGGUGGUCGGCCACACUGGAACUGAGACACGGUCCAGACUCCUACGGGAGGCAGCAGUAGGGAAUCUUCCGCAAUGGGCGAAAGCCUGACGGAGCAACGCCGCGUGAGUGAUGAAGGUCUUCGGAUCGUAAAACUCUGUUAUUAGGGAAGAACAAAUGUGUAAGUAACUAUGCACGUCUUGACGGUACCUAAUCAGAAAGCCACGACUAACUACGUG
rnacentral:rRNA from 1 species